UCAGGCCACGCUCGCCCCCCGCCGGGCCCCCUCUCGGACCGGGCUCCUCUGCUGCAGGCAAGUCCCCUCCCUGCGCCCCAAGCCUCAGUCCCCACCCAGCUUCCCCACAGGAAGUGCACCCGCGGAGCCUCAACCAGGCAUUCGCUGCCUGUCCUGGGGCAGAGACCUGUCAGCAGGACUGUCACUUCCCCUCUGCCAGAGGCUGCUUUCCAAGUGUUGUCUGUCGACACCCUCACACACACAAAGUCUAGGUAGGGGGGACGGUUUCCUCUGACCGGUGCCAGGGUCUCAGUUGGUGCUCACACCUGCCCUCCGUGGCAGGCACCACGAGCGCCCCAUUUUACAGAUGAGGGGACCCGCUGCUCCUAUGAGGCAGGGCCCGCCCCAGCCACCCUCUGCUUCCUGGGCAGGUGGGGGCCACCCAGUCCCUGCCCUCCCCCACACCCUGGCCUGGCUUCCUCCCAGGCACCUGCCCGCCGUCCGGUGUCUCAGACCAGCCUUGCCCCAAACGAAGCGGGACAGGACCCUGGCCUUGGGGCUGGCAGACACGUGGCUGUCCCAGCUCCAUCAUCUUGGGGGAAGUUAUGGACCAUCCCUGGGCUUCUGUUCCCACCCCUGCCAAAGGGACAGCGGCCUCCAGCUUCUCCGGGUCUGUGUAGAGGUCCCUGUAAGGCCACAGCUGCAAACCCGGAAAUGGGCCCAUACUGGCGUUGCUGGAGUCCAGCCAAGGGAUCUCCCUGGGGGGCUCCAGACCCCUGAGGCUGGGCGGUGACUCGGGAGGCACCAGGAGCCCCUGCCACCCUCCCUCCCGGUGGAGGCAGACCAGCUGGGACAGGCACGUUCACGCCGUGUCUCUCACUCGCUCUCCCCCCUGCCCAUCUCCUUCUCCCCGUCCCAUGGACGCCUCGCCAGAAAGACCUCUCUGCACCCGAUACAGCCCUCCCGGCAAAAGGCACACUCGCGGGAUCGGAGGCUGAUUCACGGGACAGGAUGACCAAAUACGAAGCGCGCUGAACGCACCGGGAACCCAGGCUGGGGAGCAGAGAAGGCGAACCACAAGGGCCGGGACGGGGGUGCCCGGGGACAGCCACGUUCCCUCCCGCCUGCGGCCUGCCAGGCCCACGCCAGGCCCAGAGGGCCCUGAUCCCCCGGCCCCCGGAGCUACGCCCAGCCCGAGGAGAGGCCCGUCCCCGUCACGAUGGGUCCCUCCGAGCGUGGCCCGUCCGCUGUGCCGCCCGGGAGCGGAGCGGCCUCCUGCCUCCCCCACGGCUCUGCCGGAUGGCACCGGCUCCGGCUGCAUCUGCCUGUUUACAUUACCCCAACGGAAAGCAGCUUUGUUUAUGGAAAAGAGCUAUUUCGGUGCCACGUUUCUCUCCACUCCUCUGACUCGCAGGAGUGGCUGCUCUCCGGAGGCUCGGAGGGGAGCCGUCUCCACGUCCCCGGGAAGGUGCUCGGGGGCUCCCACAGGUGAGGCGGGCCACGGGGCCAUCUCCGGCCACCACGGCCCUCGGAAGAGGAUGACGUCCCCCCAGGAGAGGGACCCUAGCGAGUCCCGCCCGCUGGUGAGCCGGUGACCCCGGACCCUGUCCUCUCAGUGGACCCCACCUGCCCUGGGCUCAUCGACCAGGCCCUCUCCUCCCCGAGCCAGGCGAGUCCUGUUAUCCCCAUUAUCCGGAUGAGAGCGGAGACCGCAGAGGCGAAGCGGGAUCUCCCAAUGUCACAAAGCUGGUGAGACCCAGGGAUUUCGCCACCGUGCCGCCCCGGGAUGGAGAUGCUGUGCGUGUCUAAUGGAGGGGGCAUCGGGUGGAAGUCCAUGGUGAUAACUAUUUCAAUAAAAAGCCACGGCCAACGCUUCGUUCCAGGCUCGGGAAACAACCAACAAAGCGGGAGCAGGACUAAGUAAGUUCAACGACGUGCGUGCUUCUCCAGAGAGAGGCCGCCAUUUUCCAGAUGGGAACCCCGAAGCUUGGAAGGGGUAGGAGGAAACAAGUCAUGACAUCCCACCUAGAACAAACGAGAGAGGGGUGCCCCAGGCCCCGUGCACCUGCCUCCCCUCCCAGGAGAAGAAGGAGGCAGAGGGUUCUCCAGAAUGUUCACCACAGCUCCGGGUAGAGUGCCCUGCACGCCCUCCUUUUCUUUGUGACUCCGCGCACUUCCUCCAUGGAAUUUGCGAUUUCCGGGGUACACACAUUGCCUGGACCGCCAAGGCAGGUCAACAGCUGUCACCAUGACAGCAAAGAGAAAGGAAAAGGGAGGCUGACCGAGGUGGAGCGCCCCCUAGAGAGACUGCAACACAACUUCAGGACUAAUUCCCCUGACCCCGGAAGGGGGGGGUGGAGCUUACAUAGGGGCAAGGGUGGGCCCCCCCCCCCCCGGGGCCCCCCAUGCUGGGGAUGGCGAUAAAGGUGUGUUUAGAGAAGAGCUUAAAACUUAUUGUAGCUUUGUGCAGGGUUUCCUGUAGGCCUUUGGGACUCCUGGCCUGCAGCCCCUGGUGUCUAGAACCUUCUAUGUGGCUACAGUGGUGAUGUGGGCCCGGGGGGAGCUGUUCUGGAACAAAGCUGUCAGCUCUAAGCCCUGGGGAGGCUCAGUUUCCCUCGGGGCGUUUUGCCCUAGGCUCUCUCUGCUCUGCCCUGCCCGCCACACGCAUGCAAAGCCACAUGGGAAACUUUCAGACCCUCAGGGGAGGGACACACAGAGCCACGUGGCCUUGUUCCCUAGGCAGACAGGUGCCCGCUUCACAAAGGUACCUAAAAACCACCCUGGCACCAAAGCAAUGCCGCCCUGGAUGCCUUCACUCCACCCUCUCAGGUUAGUCCCCUGAGGGAUAGCGAUUACAACACGAGGUGACCCCCCCAGCAGGGGGGAAGCGGGAAGGGGAAGCGCUCGGCUCAGCUCAUUGAGGGGCAGGCAGGGCUCUCCUGGAUGGACCUCACGAGAUCAUUGUGACUGAGUCAGCACCCAGGCCCCUUCUUGAGUGUCUCCCUCAGAGCCGUCCCCAGAAGGGGAAAAUGUGGCCACUUGACCUAAUGGCCUCUCGGCCUGGGUGUUCUCCCUGGAGCUGAUUUCUUCACGGCUGGUAAUGGGAACAUCCAACUCGAAGCGGGCCUGUCCUGCUCCCGUGGAAAGCGCCGUGGCUGGCUGACCGUGGUGGUUUAUAAACGACAGCCUCAGCCUCGGCCCUCCCUGCCUCCCUCGUGAAUCACCACGCUUGCUGGGGUGGGGAUGGGGGGGGGGUCGGGAGGGGAGGGUCCCCCGGGGAGGGUAGGUCACUGGUCCCGGUCACGCCCCACCGGUCCGGGCCUGGACCCGAGGACCCCUCACAGCUGGGCAGGGCCUUCACAGUUUACAGAGAGCUCUCCCUUGUCUCAUCUCCCUUCACCCUUUGAGCUGGGACACCAAAACACCUAGAAAACACAGUGCCUGGACCUGCCCCCCGCGUUCUCCUCCUUAGCCCACAAGCAUUGCCCCAGAGCCCACUCUGUGCCCGGGGCUGGCGGUAGAGGCCUGGGGGUGGGGGUAGACCCGGCCCUGCCCCUGCCCCUGCCCCUCCCCCUGCCCCCGCCCCCAGCCUCAGCCCUGCCAUCCAGCCCCGCGUGCAGCAGGGGGAUCCUCCAAUCCCACCCCUGGCCCACCCAGAUCCAACAGUGCGCCCCCAACCCCGCUGCCCAGAUGGUCAAGGGAUUCCUCAGCCUCCACUGGAGGCCCUCCCCCUCUCCCCUCCCGCUUCACGACUGCACAGUCUCUCUGCUUUGGCCUGAGAGCGGCUGACGUGCGGCCAGCGCACGGUUUCCUGUCCGCCCGGGCUGUACUAAGCUGCAGACCGGUCCCUGUGCACACCGUGCCCCCCCUUCCAGGCCCCGGCCUGGAGUUUCACGCUCCCGGAGCCCACCAGCCAGCCGCAUCUGAGUCCACAGGCGCGUCAAUGCCCAGCGCCGAUUCCACCCUCCCAGAAGUCACCCCACAGUGAAGGCGACCGCCGCCCGGAUCGCAGCUGGCAUCACGGGUGCAGGCCUGCUACCUCUGUCCCCCCAUCAGACGGUGAGCUCCUGGGGCGGGGGUAGGGGGCACGCAGUGAAGGGUGUGGCUCAGCACAGGGCCCCCUCCCACCCAGAACACGGGAAUGCCAUUGGCCGAAUGAAUGAGCAAAAAGACGAAAGAAGAGGAAGCAGAGGGGCCUGGGGGGCCUUGGGGUACCCUCAGAUGGAGCUGGGGCCCUCCCCAAGCACAGCCCUCACCCUCUGCUUCGGAGAACACCGGCACAUCAUUUCUUUGCCUGCCCAGCACCUCUGGCCGCAUCUCCUCCACCUGGGGAAUCGCCUCCUUUCCGUCUUGCAUCUUCCGGCCAGCCCCCUUCAGCCUCCCUUGCAGCUAGAGUUACGUCAUGUGACCUGGGCUCCACCAUCACAAGCCUGCCAGACUCAGGAUGGGCAGGGACCACCCAGGAGGCAGGUGCUGCGGUGUAGAAUCUACUCUGGCGGGCAGGAGGCAGCGCUGAGACUCGUGCGGGGUGCCCAGGGGGGACGAGCUGGCGUGAGCUCCCUGCAGCGAUUCCUGCCGUGGGUUUGGGGGCCCCCACUCCUGGCUCUGCACAGUCUUUCUCAGAGAGUCUGUGCUAUGGGGUAUCCUUGAAUAAACUCCUUGUCUACUCAA